GAUGAACGCUGGCGGCGUGCCUAAUACAUGCAAGUCGAGCGAACAGACGAGGAGCUUGCUUCUCUGAUGUUAGCGGCGGACGGGUGAGUAACACGUGGAUAACCUACCUAUAAGACUGGGAUAACUUCGGGAAACCGGAGCUAAUACCGGAUAAUAUUUUGAACCGCAUGGUUCAAUAGUGAAAGACGGUUUUGCUGUCACUUAUAGAUGGAUCCGCGCUGCAUUAGCUAGUUGGUAAGGUAACGGCUUACCAAGGCAACGAUGCAUAGCCGACCUGAGAGGGUGAUCGGCCACACUGGAACUGAGACACGGUCCAGACUCCUACGGGAGGCAGCAGUAGGGAAUCUUCCGCAAUGGGCGAAAGCCUGACGGAGCAACGCCGCGUGAGUGAUGAAGGUCUUCGGAUCGUAAAACUCUGUUAUUAGGGAAGAACAAAUGUGUAAGUAACUAUGCACGUCUUGACGGUACCUAAUCAGAAAGCCACGGCUAACUACGUG
rnacentral:rRNA from 1 species